rnacentral:tRNA from 1 species
AGCAUAGCUCAGUUGGUAGAGCAGCUGAUUUGUAAUCAGCUGGUCGUGGGUUCGAGUCCCUCUGCUG